UGCCCCCUGCCCAGCCCCAUAGCCUCUCACCCACUUGCCCUCUUCGCCGUCUCUCCUGCUUGUUCUGCUGGCCCGCAAUCGAAGCAGCAGGCAAGCUGCAAAGAGCUCCUUUUCUCCCGCCUCUCAGCUGAUCGGCGGGUGGGCGGGGCUUCCACGGAGGCCUCCGUGUAGGCCGCAGUGAAGCCUGAACUCGAGUAGGGCCCAAGCAAGCCAGGAAGGAGGAGGCAGCCAGAGUGUUCUCUGCAGCAGAAGACCUCUUGCUGCCCUGCUUAGCCCAGACCAGCAUUUGCCAGCUGAUGCCUUUUCCUCUCUUCUUUUCCACUUGAGAUGACUGCAGUGCCCCAACUGUUCUACAUCAAACAGCUGAACAAGAUGUGUUCCACUUGUCAGAAAUGGUGGGAUUGUUGCACAGUCUUACUUACUCAGGAUUUAAUAGGCAUCUUUAAGAGCAUGGCUGACUCAGACUGGAUCCUUCCCACUCUUAUUUUCUCCACUCUAGAUCUGGAGCGUGCACUGUUUUCGUGGUGCAGGAACAAGCAACUUCAUGCUUUCAGUGAAAUAUGAGAUGAAGCAGCCAUGGCUACUACUGUCCAUUUUUCUAUCCAGUCCUGUUGUCUACCUCUUUCCCACCUGCUAUGUGGCACUGCUGAAGACAAAGAGUUGGAAGACUACUCUGUGAAGAGCAGACAUAGCUGGGGAGAUUUGUAUCCUGCCUUCCCCACCACAGCAAGGAGCUCAGAAUGGCAUGACAGGGUUAUUCUGGUAUCCUGAUAAUAACCCUGUGAGGCAAUUUGUGACUUGCCCAAGGCCACCCAACAAGCUUCAUGACUCAGCAGGAUUUGAAUCCAGAAUAAUGACAUGUUAACUGACGUUCAGAAAAACAAAGUUCUCUGGCCCUGCAGUGUUUCUACGUUACUGGCAUUUUUAAAAAAAGAAAAUAAACUGAGGGUUCACUUUCAUAUGAACAACCUGUUCUUGCUUCUUCAUCUGUUGCAGCUAAUAUUAAGCACAGUGCAGGCAGGGAUCAUUCAAAGAAGGCAAGUGUUAAUUCAGUUUUGUACAUAUCAGGCUGCCUGAUGCAAUCCUAUGAGAAUGUGGCAGUCUUCCUUAAAGGGGAGGGGGUAGUUUUUCAGGGAGAUGCAAGUGUGGGCGGGCUGCUGCCUGACACACCCCCACUGUCUCAGCUGACUUAGGAUGGUGUUUUGUUUUGCUUGCAUAUACAGAAAGAAAAUGCAUAAAGCUGGU